ensembl:snoRNA
AUGGCCCUGAAUCAGUUUUCUGAAGCUGUCAGUUUCAAGCAGGAGUCUAAAGUGGUAUCUUUCUAUGGUCUGCUGGCCAUUUCAGAACUUUAGAAAUGUAAUGGUCAAUUCAUUAGAAAGAAAGAAUG